UACGUAGGUGGCAAGCGUUGUCCGGAAUUACUGGGUGUAAAGGGAGCGCAGGCGGGAAGCCAAGUCAGCUGUGAAAACUACGGGCUUAACUUGUAGACUGCAGUUGAAACUGGUUUUCUUGAGUGAAGUAGAGGUUGGCGGAAUUCCGAGUGUAGCGGUGAAAUGCGUAGAUAUUCGGAGGAACACCGGUGGCGAAGGCGGCCAACUGGGCUUUAACUGACGCUGAGGCUCGAAAGUGUGAGGAGCAAACAGG
rnacentral:rRNA from 1 species